rnacentral:rRNA from 1 species
ACUCCUACGGGAGGCAGCAGUGGGGAAUAUUGGACAAUGGGCGCAAGCCUGAUCCAGCCAUGCCGCGUGAGUGAUGAAGGCCCUAGGGUUGUAAAGCUCUUUCACCGGUGAAGAUAAUGACGGUAACCGGAGAAGAAGCCCCGGCUAACUUCGUGCCUGCAGCCGCGGUAAUACGAAGGGGGCUAGCGUUGUUCGGAUUUACUGGGCGUAAAGCGCACGUAGGCGGACUAUUAAGUCAGGGGUGAAAUCCCGGGGCUCAACCCCGGAACUGCCUUUGAUACUGGUAGUCUUGAGUUCGAGAGAGGUGAGUGGAAUUCCGAGUGUAGAGGUGAAAUUCGUAGAUAUUCGGAGGAACACCAGUGGCGAAGGCGGCUCACUGGCUCGAUACUGACGCUGAGGUGCGAAAGCGUGGGGAGCAAACAGGAUUAGAUACCCCUGUAGUCCCA